UCUCUAAAUAACUCCAAUUAACUGUUCAAAUAUUCUCUGCUCGGAACAUUCUCCGACUCCGAAAUCCAAUACGGCUGUUAAAUUCUCAGCGAUUUUUUACUUUUCAGGUUUGUGCAUCUUCUUUAAUUUCCCCAAGUCUUCUGUCAAAUCCAAGCUACUCCAGUAUAUCCAUAUUAUUUGUUAAUUUUACAUUAUAUAUAUAUAAGUUCGAAAUUGCAGCUACUUAGUCGUGCUUGAGUUGCUUAGCCGUAGCUAUAUUUUGCCUGCAACUUUUUUUCCCGGGUAAAUUAGUAUUCCAGUACUUCCUUUGUCCCAUUUUUUAGUGAUGGAGUGGACUAGAUAUGUAGUUUAAGCUAUUAUUUUGAUUUUUCUGUUAUAAUAAUAUAGGUAGAAGAAAAAGUCGAGGGACUCGUGAUUAAGGUCACAGGUUCGAGCCAUGUGUCAGGUGAACUAUCUGUUUGGAUUGACUUAAAAGCUGGUAGAUUUUUAGAUGUUGGGAGUGUUUGGCAAAAAAGAAAACAGCUUAAAAAAAGUUAAAACUGGCUUAGAAAAAGCCAAAAGCCACGAGUUGGCUGAUCCCAACUUUUUUUUUUAGCUCAAAAGCCAACUAUUUUUGACCAAGUAUUUUACCCUCUUAUUCCUAAUAAUAUUUGUUAUUCCAAAAAUGUCCUUCACAAACUUUUGAAAUAAUUAUAAUAUCCAACUCAAAUUUUUAAAAUUUGUCAGAACGGUGAACUUAUUUUGACUUUAAUAUCUCUUACAUAGAUUGUACUUAAGUUUGAUUUUUUUUCUAAGAAUUUAAACUCGUGUGCGACCAACAGUUCUAGUUGCAUUGUAAUUUCUAAUUAACUAUACAUACAAUUUUCAAAUAAUUUUAAAAAGUACAAGUUUAUUUUAUUUUGAUUUCCUAAAUAUUAGGAAUUUUUACAUAGUUCAAAUAAGAAAUAAAAUAAUAAAUUGUGAUAGUCAUUUCAUAUGUUUUUCCAGUAAGCUUAGAAUUUCAAGAAACAAAUAAAAAAUUUACAUGGUUGAAAGAAGUGAAAAAUAAGAGUUCAACAAUUAUAUUUAUAAAAAUUAUCUUAGAUGGUCAGUUCAGAUAUUAAUUAUUUCGUAUUUAUAUUAAUAAGUUUGAAAUACAAUAUUAUAGUAAUAAGCUUCUUUAUAGUGUUAACAACUUUAAGGAUAUUUCAAUCAUUUUAAUAGAAAAAGUGCUUACCAGCCCUUGUUUACCAAACAUUUCAACAACUCUUUUUCAGCUCCAACACUUUUAUCCAAACACAUAACUGCUUAUUUAUAAAAUCAGCUCCAGCACUUAAAAAGUGGUGCUUAAAAGCUACUUUUUUUAAGUCAAUCCAAAUGGUAUGCCUGCUAUUUAAGUGGAAAAAGUUAGAGGAGCAGGCUUAUCACCGAGCUUUUAAGGCUGCAGCUGGUGCUAAGGGUUGGCUCCACAUGGAUUUCUUGGUAAAAUAGGUUGAAGAAAAGUACUAAAGCAAUAGUUAAAAAACUAGCUUGGUAGAGAAAAUCAGUUUAAAGUUCAAAUUUUAAUAGAUUAAUGAGUUUAACUUUUGAAAGAUGAAAGUUAUAUAGAAUGAUUAUUAGUGGUGGAAUUGUAUCAAAUAUUCUGGGACGUCCGAAACAGAAAAAGAGUGUUUAUAAAUUGGGUCGGAGAGAGCAGCAUAUAUUGAGGUAUAACUUCCAAAUAUUUCUAUUCAUUCUCUUUGCCUUGUAGCUCUUUGUAUAUUUGUGAAAUUAAAAUGGCCUUUUCACCAUCAGAUGUCUGAGUUCCUCAAGGUAAGUCACUUUCUCUGUCAACUUGAGUUGAAAAAGUAGCUUUAUGCUCUUGCUUACAUUACACAUUUCUAGCUAGUUUUUGUAUUAUUUAGAUCGACACCUAAAUAUCCCAGUCGAGGGAUUUGUAGUAUUGCAAUUAUUAAGAGUUCUACUAGCUAUUAUUGAAUUCAUUCACCGAUGGGACUUCUAAGUUUUGGUUAGAUCAAAAUCCAAUAUUUUUCUGGUCAGCUGCUUGUUAGAUAGAAUUUGUUUGGUUUGUGCUAAAGUUAUAUGCCAUGGGGGAAGAAUAGUGUAGUUUUUUGCUAGAUACAUAUGCCAUUCCUUAUCGAAGGUAUAAGGGCAUCCAAAAAGCUUAUUAAAAUUUUAAGCUAGCUCACUUAUUGCCUUUGUUUUUUCAAUUGUAUGCUUGGAUCCUUUCAAUUAGUGUUAGAGCAAGGUCAUAUGUUUGUAUUCCAAUAGAAGCAACAUGGUUGGUGGUGGACAAGGUGGAGGAUUGUUUUUGAGGAAUCAAAUGGACGAGUUAGGACCUGCCUCAUGGCAUUAGUAUGCUGUCAAAAUUGACCUGUGAGCACUUUUAUAUGUGCAUAAGGAAUUAAAGUUGCAACCUUUGGAUCAAUUUGUUGGCAAGUACUUGAUUUUAUCCCAAAGCGCGGAUCAUACCACUAGACCAAAUGCCCUCUUUGAUGUUGAUUGCAAUGCUUUUUUCUUCUGAUAAGGUAUUAAAGCUCAUGGAUAUAAUUUGAAGAAUGUUUGUUGCAUGGAUAUACUGGGUUGUUGUUGUUGUAAUGUUUGUUGCAUGAGUUUCAGGUAGAUGAUUUGCACUUACUUGUACUGUAUCUACCAAUCUUACUCACAAUUUUAGCAAAUCCUCUUGAUUUAUUCAUUCAUAUGAAGUAAAAAUGACAAAAAUAAACACGAGGAAAAUUGAACAAUGAUUAUCAUUAAUAAUAACCAACAUAGUAAUAAUGGAAAAUGAACCAGAUGGAAAACUCUGAAAGAUUGACCUUGAGCACUUCUGUUCUCGUACAUGUGUUCUGGAGAAUGUUGUGCAUUGAGCUUGUACUUCCUUGCAGUCAACCAGUUUGCAUUUGAAAGUUCUUUCCUGCUUCAGUAUUUUCUUGUGCAUAUGUAAGUAUUUGAAGUUUGGUGUUUCGUACAUCUUUAAGUGGUACAAAUGCUUAUGAGCAGCUGAAUUUGUCUUUACUGACAUGGUACUGUACUAAUCUGUUAUGAGGAUUUUCUUGUAUCAAUCCAAACUAAAAGGGUAUGUUUUCACCCUAAAAGAUUCUGUCCUCAACGAAUGUUACAGUGUGGAAGAGUCAAAACCAUACUUGUGGAUAACAUUCUUUACUUGAAACAUCAAACAUCAAACAGUUAUAGUUUGCUGGCUUUAUGAAUACUGCCACUUUGUACCCCUAGUAUUUUGUGAUUGUGUUGCUAUCUGCUCUGAAAGUUCUAGUCUCAUAACUAAUUUGGUUGAUUGAUUUGCAUAUGGGGACUUUGGAUGACAUCCAUUGCCAUUACUGGCUUACAGUCAUCAGCAUGGUUCUGGAAUUAAAAUGAGUUGAUGUACACUUUUGUGUAUCAUGCUAACAUUAGUACCAGAGUAUCUUCAGUGACUAACCCCGUUUCUUUAUAGUGUCUUAGAUAAACUUUGGAUCAGAUUUUUGAUACUAUCUACUCAAGUAGUCUUACUUAACCUCUUCAGUACCGUAAACCAUAUAUAAAAAGUGUACUCAAACAUUUAUGUGGCUUCUGUACCUUUAGAAGCAAUAAUGCAUCAUAGGAAGGCUACAACAUGUUUAAUAAGCCUUAGUCGAUCUCCAGAGGACAACACUUUUCUUUUCCAAUCUGAUUCUCUUUUUCAUUUUCUCUAGUAGAGGAAUUUUCUCUCUUUAUUCUCUUGAGGGAUAAGAAAUCCAGGUACUUGAUAGGAAAAUUACCAUUUUUAAUGAAUAGGGUAUUUAGUAGGAAUUCUUUAAGAUAAAUGGUGUCUUACCUUGUAUCUGCAUGUGCUGAAAUAAGGAAGAGUCAGAUUCUAAUAAUAAAUUAUCUACUAAAGAAAACAUUAAAAACUUGAUCUAGUCUACAUUUGAAUUGAAAAAAGAUGGGGCAUUCCGAGAAUUGAACUCGGGACCUCUCGCACCCAAAGCGAGAAUCAUACCACUAGACCAAAUGCCCAGUUGUUGAUUAUUGUCAUUUUUGGCUCAUGAUCAAUGUCUUUUCCUUAUUGUCUGGAAAAAUCAAUCAUAAAAGCUUUGCAUAGUUGCAAAUUUAGAAUCUUUAGACCUCUUAAUUCAGACCCGUUGAUAUUUUUAGUACUUCUGCUGUAUCCUAAUAUUACUGGAAAAAGACAAGUGCUUUAAUGCUUCUGCUUUGGCAACCUCUUUUCUGAUCUUCACUUUUCCUGACUUCUACAGAUGCUACAACCUUCUUUUGUACUGGUCCAAUUCUCUUUGAAAUCCUCUUUUACUAGAUUUAACCCAGUGGUUGUAUAUUAUCCAAGAACAUGGAAUUUGACUUAAAGUGAAGCUAGAUCUCUGGCGUAAAUCGGUUUGCUUCAUGUUCUAGCACCACUGUUUUGAGGUGAAUUCACAGCAUAAAUUGAGGCACCAAAUUUAGGAAUAACAUAUACUGAAGAAACAUGGCUUUCCUGCUAAUUUUGUUGCUCCCAGAUUCUUUUUGUUACUUAAAUAAUAUAGGAUGAUAUUCUUGUUUAUAUAUAACUACAUGUAUUCGAGCUUGUUCAUAUUGCGGGUCUCAUAGAACAUGCAUUUUGGCUGACUGUCUUGGUUGUCUUAUGAUCAGAAUGUGCACAGAACAGGAGAACAAAAAGAGUGGUGAAAGUCAAACAUUAAGUAUGGUUUACAAAAAUACACUAGAAAGAAGAAUCAGUUCUAGAAUUCUGCCUUGACUGUUUGGAUCAGCAAUAAGUAGUUAGCGCCUUCUUGUAUCAAUUUCCUUUUGUUAGUAUUUAAUACAGUAAAUAAAUUUUAUUGUCCAUGCAUGACGUAAAGGGAAUUCCGUUCAUCAUUGGAAUCCCAACAUCUUAAAUACUUGAUGAGCUUACUGCAGUUUUCAGAACAGGAAUCUCAAUGUUAAUUGUUCAGCAAAGUGUUAAAUGAAAAUCCUAUAUUUUUCCUUCUGAUCCUUUAUAACCCGCAGGAGUACAGGCUUGAAAAAGGGUAGUCAAAAUUUGGGGGCAUUCCGAGAAUCGAACUCGGGACCUCUCUCACCCAAAGCGAGAAUCAUACCACUAGACCAAAUGCCCGUUUGUUGACAAUUUCCAUCUUCGAGUUUUAGUCAAAUGUAACUUUCCCUUGUGAGUUAUUUGGUUGUGAAUGUCUUUGCUUAUCUGCAAUUUAGGCUUCAGAUACUCCAUAAUCCACACCAGUUGAUCUUCAUUUGCUUAUCAAGUAUUCUUUGGUACUUUUGCUGACUCCCAUUUAGAAAUGGGAGAUACUCAGAGGGAGUGCUUACAUAUGAUGUAUUUGCAGCUUCCUCUGAUUUGCGCUGCUCUCGAUCCCUAAAGAUGCUAUCAGCUUUAGUUGUUACUGGUGCUUGUCUAUGUAUCAUCCUUUUCUAUCAUACUCAACCUUUUUGAGCAUCUGGAAUAAAAAAGCCACGAAAUUUGUCUAGUGAUUGAGAACUGUCAUUGGACAUGAGACCAGGUCCUGGCAUUAGCUGUGUUAAUAUUGCAUGUUUGAGCAUCAUAGUAAGGAAAGCCUACUCAAGUAUCACAUUUAUAGUUAAACACGGACUUUCUGUUGGGUUCUGUUCUUACCAGUUCUCUUUUGGGCACCUUCUCUUUUAAGCUUGUGAGAAUGCACGGGGGAAAAAUCUAUUAUUAACAAUGAUACAAUGAGCCCUAUAUAUAAUACAUAUUCUAUUCCUACUACAUAUGGGACUAUGACAUAUUCUACUCCUACUACAUAUAGGACUAGGAUAUAUUCUACCCCUACUAAAUAUGGAAUUAGGACUAUUUACACAUAAUUAUCUAACACUCCCCGUGAGCAACAAAACCAGGUGGUUGCUGAUAAAUAGAAGUUGACCGAAAAGUCGCCAGAAAAAUUUGAUAAUAGUGAGACUAGCAGAAUUCCACACUACAGAAUAGGUUCUAAAACACCGCCAGAAAACAAAAACUUUCCGAGAAAUCACUAUUCACGCGGAAGAUCACUGUUCACCCCGGAAAAAGUGCACUGCUCACGCUGAAAAAAAUAAAAGUUGUCAGAAUUUGAUGUAAUUUAUAUGGGUAGGCUCGGAAUCACUGGACGAGUAAGCUGUCCUGGAGAAGUUUUGUCAAAAAGUGGCAGGAAUGGCUCACUCGCGCCGAAAAUUCACUGUCAGCGGCGCGUGAGGGCGCGUGACAGGUAUUCUGACGGAGAUUUUUUUCGGGGUUGGUCACCGGAGGGUGAUCUACCUCGUGGUGGUGUUGGUUUUUGCACAACACCGACAAAAAGGAACUUUUAAAUUGGACAGACCUGCAGGCACCGGAAAAUUUUCUGGUUAACUGAUUUCUUCUUCUCGGAGUCGCUGGUAUUUUUGCACAGGGAUGAAUCUCUCACGUUAGCUCUCAUACCCUCUGAGAAAGCACGGGAGAAAAAUGUAUUAUUGAUAUUAAUUGUAAUACAAUUAACCCUAUUUAUAAGUACACAUAGUAUAUAACCUACUUCUAUUACAUAUGCGACUAAGACUAUUUGCACAUAACUAUCUAACAAAGCUAUAUCGUUUUCACUUGUCUUCAUGAAAUUGUGCAGCUCACUCUAUGUAAAUUGGUACAGAACAACACGGUACAAUGAUGUUCAUGCAUUGUUGGUUUUCUAAUGGAAAUGAAAAUUGCUCAUGAACUAUGGGUAUACAUUCAGCCCUCAUUUUGAUGUGAAAUUCUGCGAGCUUUUGCCUGAAUUUCUGAAAGAACUUUCAGCCAUUGAUGAUCAAUGAUUUCAGUUGUUACUGUUGAUUUCCUUGACCCAUAUAUGGCUUUGUUUUUCUUUCUUUGAGAAGUAAAUGACCUUGUUAUAGACUAAACAUUAUGAAUCUCUGAUGUAGACAAACCCAUGUACUAACUUAACUUUUAAGUUUUGCCUUCUCAGUCAGAUUGAAAACAGAUGGUAAAACUGGAACGCAUGUGUGAAAUGAUGGCUCAAGAUAGUUGAGAUACUUGAGCUUACCCUUCAGUAUUUAUAUUCAGGAUCUGUUCGGAGAUUGACAUGAACUUUGGAGGUUUAGAUCUGCUUAUCAGAAACUGAACAGGUAGCCCCAACACUGCACUAUUGCUGUAUUAAUUUUUAGCUCAUAGUCUAGUUACAUGUUAUUCAGUUCAUCUAACUCAUGCCAUUUGGUGGCUCAUUAAUGAGAGUACAAAGAAUCUUUUCCUGCAAAUUAUGCUGUAUAAAGACAGGCUUGAAAAAAGGGCACUAAUUUUUUUUGGGGCAUUCCGAGAAUCGAACUCGGGACCUCUCGCACCCAAAGCGAGAAUCAUACCACUAGACCAAAUGCCCAGCUUUUGUUGGUCCCUCUGCCUAAAUAAUAGCUGGAAGUUUCAUGUACAGUUAUCUGGAGCCUAUACCAUUUCUAUGAAAUUAUUUUCUAGGAGUACCAGCAUUCUCCAGUGUCUCGGGGAUCUUCCAUUGUUAAAAUAAUGUAAAAGUGUUUUAGUUGUAGACUGGAAGUUGGUGUAUCUGGUUGUAAUAUCUGAACAUAGUCAACUGUAGAAUCAUUUAGAGAUGAAGGAGCGUUUGGAGAUUUAAAUCAACUUAGAGUAAAUUAAAAUUCUACAAAAUCAAGGGGCAUUCCGAGAAUUGAACUCGGGACCUCUCGCACCCAAAGCGAGAAUCAUACCACUAGACCAAAUGCCCAUUCGUUGACAUUGUCAUCUUUGAGUUUUAGUCAAACGUAUUUUUCACCUUCUGAGUUAUUUGAUCGCAAUGUCUUGCUUAUCUGCAAUAUAGAUUUAUACUCCUUAUUCAUACCAGCUGAUAUUCAUUUGCUUAAAAAAAUGUUCUUCAGUCCUUAUUGUGACUCCCACAUGGAUUAGUGAGAUGUAAAGAGGGGUUGAUUAAAAUAUUAUGUUUUUGCUCUCUGAUUUGUGCUGAUCUCAAUGCAUAAAGAUGCUAUCAGCUCUGGUAAUUUCUGUCACUUGUCUAUUCACUAUCCUUCUCUGUCAUAUUCAACCUUUUGGGCAUUCGGAAUCCAAAAGCAAUGAAGUCUGUCUAGUGAUUAAGAACUCUCAUUGGACAUGAGGCCAGGUCUCUGGCAUUUGCGGGAUUAAGAUGACUUGUUUGACAUCAUAGUUCGAGUUAAAUCAUGCCUGAAGUAAAGAAAGCUCCACUAAGUUGGGGAGCAUCACAUUAAUAGUUAAACCUUGGCUUCUGUUGUGUUCUCUUAUUUCCAGUUCUCUUUCGGAUACGUUCUUUAUCAAGCUAUAUCCUUAUCACUUUUUUUCAUGGAAUGGUGCAGCUCAUUAUAUGUAAAUUGGGCGCAACUCAACAUGGUACAAUGAUAUUCAUGAUUCUUUGUUUCACUAUAUUGAAAUGGAUAUGAUUCAGUAACAACGGGUAUCUGCGUUACUCCUUAUUUCGACGUGAAAGCUUUUGCCUCAAUUUUUGCAACACCUCCAUGUCAUUGAUUAAUGAUUUCAGUUGUUCUGGACAAAAUUUUAUGAAUCUUUGAUGUAAGUUGUAACGACAAAUGCAUGUGCUAACUUUUAAGUUUUGCCUGCUUUAUCAAAUUGAAAAGAGAUGGCAAAAACGCAUGUCUGAAAUGAUGGCUUACUAUGGUUGAGAUACUCGAGCUUAUCUGUUCGACAUUUUAUAUUUAGGGAUCUCUUGGGAGUUGGACACUGAACUUUGGAGUUUCAGAUCUGCUUUUCGGUAAACUGAACAGGCAAGGUCAACUCUGCGCUAUUGCAAAUAUUCAUGUUGUAUUAAUUUUUUGUAUAUAGAUCUAGAUCUUCCUUAUUUAGCUUCAUGUGACCCAUCCAAUUGGGUGGUCCAUUAACGUGAAUGGAAAGAAUCUUUACCUGCAAUUUUUUUGUGUGAAGAAAAUUUGGCUGAGUGUCUUAGUUGACUUGGGAUAAGCUUACCAAAAGGGAAACAAUAAAGAGCUCUUACACAAAGCAUUAGGUAAGAUUUGGGACAGGCAUAUAUUGACAAAGCAAAGUUAGGUCUGGAUUGUAGAAAUGCCUAUUUGUUGAUAAUUAAUAAACCAAAAAAAUACUAUUGAUUCCCCUAUCGCAUUAAAUACUCAGCAUGUGACCAAGUGUGAAUUCUAUUGUUUGAAUCUUAGUAACAUGAAUGGCUGAUGAACUUGCUGCAAUUUUCAUAACAUCAAUCUCAAUGCUGACUGUUUAAGAAAAUACUGAAAUACUUUAGAUGGCGGAGGUUCUGGCCAACUCUUCUCAAAGUUGGUAGGGACAUUCCGUAACCUGGGAACUUUGCACCCAUGAACUAUACAACUAGACUAAUUGGCCAGUAGCUUAUGUUCCUUGAAGAUAAUCUUGCAAUACAGUUCACACUACGUCUUCUAAGAUGAAAAAGUUAGGUUAUGUGCUAGUUUUUCUGCUUCUAUUGUUAACAAGGUGGUGGGUAAAUUAUAGCGUUUGCAUGAUAAGUUGAGACUAUAGAGAGAAACUAAGUGUAUUUCUUAGAAGAUCUCUAGCCAAUUGGACUGGGUCAGCCACUUAUGACCUGCUUAAUUUGAAUAUAUCAAUUAGAAGAUAGAGCGAAGGAGCAGAGCAGCUAAAAUGAAGUAAAAUGGUUACAUUAGCAGGGGCAUUCCGAGAAUCGAACUCGGGACCUCUCGCACCCAAAGCGAGAAUCAUACCACUAGACCAAAUGCCCAGCUUUUGCUGGUUCAUUGGUCUAAAUAAUAGCUGGAAGUUUCAUGUCAGUUGCCUGGAGCUUAUACCAUUAAAUGAUAUUAAGAGGGAUGAGCAUUUUCCAGUGUCUGGGGGCUCCUCCAUUGUUAAAAUAAUGUAUAUAGAGAGGCAUAUUAAUUUACUAUGCUAUUAAAGGUGUUUUAAUUGUACAGUGUGGAAGUUGUCCGUAUCUGGUUGUAAUAUCUGAACAUACUCGACUAUAGGGUCAGUUAGAGAUGAAGGAGCACUUGGAGAGUUAAAUCAACUAAAGUAAAUAAAACUUCAGUAAAAUCAAGGGGCAUUCCGAGAAUCGAACUCGGGACCUCUCGCACCCAAAGCGAGAAUCAUACCACUAGACCAAAUGCCCAUUUGUAAACAUUGUCAUCUUUGAAUUUUAGUCACAAUGUUUUUCCCAUUCUGACUUAUUUGAUCAUAAAUGUCAUUGCUCAUCUGCAAUGUAGAAUUCAGGUACUCCUUAUUUCACACCAGUUGAUCUUCAUUUCCUUGAUUAAAUGUUCUCUGGUACUUUUGCCGUCUCCCAUUUGGAUAUGAGAUAUAAAGAGGGGUUACCUUCUUUAUUAAGCUAUAUCAUUAUUACUUUUUUGUGAAAUGGCGCGCUCAUGUAAAUUUGCUGUAGACCAAACAAUAUGAAUCCUUGAUGUAACUAAAACCCGUAUACUAACUUCUCUUUUAUGUUUUGCCUGGAUUGUCAAAUUGAAAACAGCUUGCAGAAAAAGCAUAUCUGAAAUGAUGGCAUACAGAUACUUGACGUUAUGUGUUCGACUAUUUAUAUUUAGAGAUCUGUUGGGAGUUUGAAUUGAAGUUUGGAGUUUCAGAUCUGCUUUUAGGUAAAAUGAACAGGUAAGCCCAUGCCAUUUGGUUAUCCAUUAACAUGAAUUGAGAGAAUCGUUACCUGCUAAUUUUGUUGUAUGAAGACAUUUGGCUGAGUUUCUUAGUUGACGUGAGGUCAGAAUGCUUAUCAAAAGGGAAAUAGUAAAGAGCUCUUAAAGUCAAAUGUUAGGUAAGGUUAGUACAGGCAAUGACAAAGCAAAGUUUGGUCUGG
rnacentral:lncRNA from 1 species